rnacentral:misc_RNA from 1 species
UGGGUCGAGGAGGACAUAUUUCCAAGUCAUGGACUGCAAAUCUGCAAAAUUAUAUGGAAAUAAAAGUUUUAUUGAUGAGAGACAUCGGCAUAGAUAUGAGGUGAAUCCUGAUAUGGUAUCUCGCCUGGAGGAUGCUGGACUCUCAUUCACGGGCAAAGAUGAAACUGGUCAGCGAAUGGAGAUUGUUGAGCUGCCUAAUCAUCCUUACUAUAUCGGUGUUCAAUUCCAUCCUGAAUUUAAAUCAAGACCAGGAAAACCUUCUGCAUUAUUCUUAGGGCUAAUAUCAGCAGCAUGUGGGCAAUUAGAUGCUCUAUUGCAAGGCCACAAGGUUCCCAAUGGAAUAAGCAAUGGAAUUCCAAUACAAAAAGUAAAUGUUUACCAAAAUGGAAAUGUUGCAAAGUUUGCAAAAAUCGCAUCCGAUGGCAUAUAUAGCAACUGCAAUGGUGCGCACUACUAGUCUGCUGCUGCCUUUGUUACAGUGCCUAUUAUUAUUAUUGUUUUUCUGGAGUGAUAGUUGUUCUACUGAUACUCUUGCUAGUGUCUUUGGAUUGCCUUGUACAGUGAGUUGAGUAUGGGUAGCUGUCAUUAGUUUCAAGAGAGAAUUUGCAACUGGAUUGAACAGAGCUGGUUCCUGGUCUUUUAAACGGGACAGCUCUGUUAUAAUUUACAGUGUAGCAUACUUUCUGCUGGUGCUUUUCUGCGAAGAUCGUCUUUUUUUUUUUUUUUUU